rnacentral:rRNA from 1 species
UACGUAGGGUGCGAACGUUAAUCGGAAUUACUGGGCGUAAAGCGUGCGCAGGCGGCGCGUUAAGACAGGUGUGAAAGCCCCGAGCUUAACUUGGGAAUUGCGCUUGUGACUGGCGUGCUGGAGUGUGGCAGAGGGAGGUGGAAUUCCACGUGUAGCGGUGAAAUGCGUAGAGAUGUGGAGGAACACCAAUGGCGAAGGCAGCCUUCUGGGCCAACACUGACGCUCAUGCACGAAAGCGUGGGGAGCAAACAGG